GCUUAACACAUGCAAGUCGAGCGAGAAUCGUUUUGCUGAAGGCUUCGGUCUGACGCAGAAUGAGGAAAGCGGCGAACGGGUGAGUAACGCGUGGGCAACCUGGCCUUAAGAAAAGGAUAGCCCCCGGAAACGGGGAGUAAUACUUUAUGAGAAUAGAAAAGGGCAUCAUAUUUCUAUUCAAAGCGCAAGCGCUUAAGGAUGGGCCCGCGUAUCAUUAGCUAGUUGGUGAGAUAACAGCCCACCAAGGCAACGAUGAUUAGCCGGUCUGAGAGGGCGAACGGCCACAUUGGAACUGAGAGACGGUCCAAACUCCUACGGGAGGCAGCAGUGGGGAAUAUUGCGCAAUGGAGAAGAACUCUGACGCAGCAAUACCGCGUGAGCGAAGAAGGUCUUCGGAUCGUAAAGCUCUGUUAUCAGGGAAGAAGAAAAUGACGGUACCUGAUGAGCAAGUCCCGGCUAACUACGUGCCAGCCGCCGCGGUAACAC
rnacentral:rRNA from 1 species